AGUGGGAUAGCUGGGUCAAAUGAUGGUUCCAUUUCAAGUUUUCUGAGGAAUCUUCAUACUGCUUUCCAUAAUGAUUGUACCAAUUUACAAUCCCACCAGCAAU
rnacentral:pre_miRNA from 1 species